rnacentral:rRNA from 1 species
CACGUAGGGGACGAGCGUUGUCCGGAAUCAUUGGGCGUAAAGAGCGUGUAGGCGGUCCGGUCAGUCGGUUGUGAAAGUCAAGGGCUCAACCCUUGAAUGCCGGCCGAUACUGCCGGGCUAGAGUCCGGAAGAGGUGAGUGGAAUUCCUGGUGUAGCGGUGAAAUGCGCAGAUAUCAGGAGGAACACCGAUGGCGAAGGCAGCUCACUGGGACGGUACUGACGCUGAGACGCGAAAGCGUGGGGAGCAAACAGG